rnacentral:lncRNA from 1 species
CCUACAAUUCAGUCCCUGGAAUUGCUGCUCUCCUGUCUUCAAACAUAUCCGAGGUUGCACGUACCAACAAUGUCACGAGGCUUACUGUCUUCGCGGCAGACAAGGAGGUUGUAAUUCCGGUGGACUGUUCGUGUUCAGGUUUGUAUUAUCAAGCCACAACCAUGUACUAUAUCCCAGCUCUUAUUGAAACAUACUUUAUGAUAGCAAAUAAUACUUACCAAGGAUUAUCAACCUGUAAUGCACUAUUACGUCGAAAUAAAUAUGGUGAGUUCAGUUUGAGACCUGGUCUUGAGUUGCUAGUUCCUCUCAGGUGUGCCUGUCC